rnacentral:rRNA from 1 species
CAGUAGCGUAUAUUAAAGUUGUUGCAGUUAAAAUGCUCGUAGUUGAAGUUCGGAUGCAGCAGAGCUUGGAAACGCUGUUAUGGUGCUUCCGUUGCUUUUGCUUGUCCACAGUGCGUUGCAAGUACGUAUGUGCUUGUGCGUGCAUUUUACUUUGAGAAACAUAGGGUGUUCCACGCAUGUUACGGCAUGAAUAUUCCAGCAUGGGAUAAUCUGGUACGACUUCCAAUCUGCCAUUUUGGUUCGUAGGUUGGAAGUAAUGAUUAAUAGGGACUGUCGGGGGCAUUCGUAUUUGACUGUCAGAGGUGAAAUUCUUAGAUUCGUUGAGGACCAACCACUGCGAAAGCAUUUGUCAAGGAUGUCUCCAUUA